rnacentral:sRNA from 1 species
UUAUUUAGUUAAACAAGUGGCACAGUAUUCUAGUCAAUACAGCUAAUCUCGAGGGCGGGGCUAAAAAUCCGUCGAAGGGCAUAUCGAUGAAGUUCCUUGUUUCGGCUCGCGACGCCCAGUCGAGGGUCGUUGCAGGGAGUAAGAAAGAUGGGGCGAUCUGCAAUGGCAUGCAGGCGUUGACCCUACUUUCGUGGAGACUUACCAUUGUGGUAAGAUAAACCUGUAUGUUAUGUUGAAAAAUAAACAUACAGAGUAGCCUGCCUUGAGUGAUAUUGGCGGAUGAUAAGUUCAACUCUUUCUACUUAGGGCCCAAGUAGGAAAAGUUUUGUUAUCGAAACCAAUAUUGCAAAAGAGGCUAAGGAUUAGGCUGGUUGUUGAGGAAAACUCCUAGACUGUUCUUAACAGAGGCAUAUUGAGGAUUACAGUGCGGACUAAGUGGCAAUCCAGUUCUACUUAUGGCGACGUGGUAGUAAAAGAAUUAAAGGGAAACCGCUGUUAUGGCAACAUACAGUUUCUUUUAGGGAAAUCCUGCUGGACCUUAAGCCGCAAGAUUUACUCAGUAUGCUGCCACUUGUAGCGAAGCUGAU